rnacentral:rRNA from 1 species
AUGGUCAAUAGCCUAACGGCUGAACCAGCAACUUGGAGGAAUGUAUAGCAAUAGCUGAUUGCACCAUCAAAUGGUUGAUGCAAUAUUGACUCUGUCAAAUAAAAUUCUAGGUAGAAUUAUGAUAAUGACAUUGUCUGCCUAUAUGUCUUGACCAAAUUACGUGCCAGCAGUCGCGGUAAUACGUAGAAGACUAGUGUUAUUCAUCUUUAAUAGGUUUAAAGGGUACCUAGACGGUAAAUCAAGCCUUCGCAGGGACUAAUUUACUAGAGUUACUUACGAGGGGGUAUUAAAGUACUGCAGGUGUAGAGAUGAAAUUCUGUCAUACCUCUUUUCAAAAGAAAAAUUAUGGCACAGGUAUAGGUGAAAGCAUCCCCUUAUGUGAUAACUGACGUUGAAGGACGAAGGCUUUGUGUCGCGAACAGGAUUAGAUACCCCAGUAGUCAAAGCAGAAAAUGAUGAAUGUCAUAGAUUAGAUAUAUAGUUUAUUCUAUAAAUGAAAAUGUAAGCAUUCCACCUCAAGAGUAAUUUGGCAACAUUGGAACUGAAAUCAUUAGACCGUUUCUGAAACCAGUAGUGAAGUAUGUUGUUUAAUUUGAUGAUCCGCAAAAAACCUUACCACAAUUUGAAUAUUUGUAUCUAUCUUUUUUUUCGUAAAAAGGUAAUAUAUUUACAAGCGUUGCACGGCUGUCUUCAGUUAAUGUCGCGAGACUUUGGUUAGUUCCAUUUAAUUAACGUAAACCCUUACUUUAUUUUUAUAUGAAGUAGUUCCCCGCUAUAUUGGAUAUGAUAACAGGGACUAGGACAAGUCAUCAUGGCCUUAAUAUUGUGGGCUAUAGACGUGCCACAUAAACCUUACAAAAGGGUGUGAAAUUGCGAAAUUGAGC